rnacentral:rRNA from 1 species
CCCUUAGAGUUUGAUCCUGGCUCAGAACGAACGCUGGCGGCGUGCUUAACACAUGCAAGUCGAAUGCGAAAGCCCUUCGGGGUGAGUAAAGUGGCGCACGGGUGAGUAACGCGUAGGAACGUACCUAUGGGAGGGGGAUAACCACGGGAAACCGUGGCUAAUACCGCAUGAUAUCGUAAGAUCAAAGGAGGCCUAUCCUUGGAAGCUUCCGCCCACAGAUCGGCCUACGUCCUAUUAGCUAGUUGGUAGGGUAAAGGCCUACCAAGGCGAUGAUGGGUAACUGGUCUGAGAGGAUGAUCAGUCACACUGGAACUGAGACACGGUCCAGACUCCUACGGGAGGCAGCAGUGGGGAAUCUUGCACAAUGGGCGCAAGCCUGAUGCAGCAACGCCGCGUGGGUGAAGAAGGUCUUCGGAUUGUAAAGCCCUUUCGGCCGGGAAGAAGGGUCCCAAGGUGAAUAAUCUUGGGGUCUGACGGUACCGGAAGAAGAAGCACCGGCUAAUUCCGUGCCAGCAGCCGCGGUAAUACGGAAGGUGCAAGCGUUGUUCGGAAUGACUGGGCGUAAAGCGCACGUAGGCGGGUUUGCAAGUCGGAUGUGAAAGCCCCGGGCUUAACCUGGGAAUGGCACCCGAAACUGCGAAUCUUGAAUGCUUGAGAGGUUGGUGGAAUUCCUGGUGUAGGAGUGAAAUCCGUAGAUAUCAGAGGAACACCGGAGGC